GAAGGGUUACUGCUUUGCAGCCCACCAGGUUGUUGUGGAGAAUGAAAAUGAUCUGUCUGGGGUUUCUCUUCUUUUUGGCAGCUUUCUCAGGUGUCAGUUCUCAAAUCCAGCUGACCCAGUCCGGGGCAGAAAUCAAGAAGCCUGGAGAGUCUGUGAAGGUGACAUGUAAAACCUCCGGCUACACCUUUACCAGCUACGGCAUUAGCUGGGUGCGGCAGGCUCCCGGGAAAGGACUGGAGUGGAUCGGAUAUAUUAAUCCCAGUAAUGGUGGCACUAGCUAUGCCCAGGCUUUCCAGGGUCGAUUCACCAUCACCAGGGACACCUCCAUAAGCACGGCCUAUCUGCAGCUGGGCAGCCUGAGAACCGAGGACACGGCCACGUAUUACUGUGCUAGGGACACAGGAGUGGAGACACCAGGGGAGGCUGCACAUCCCUACCCCCACCCAGAGCGCAGUGUCCAGUCCCAGGUCCGGCUGGUGGAGUCCGGAGGCGGGAUUCAAACCCCUGGGGGAUCUCUCCGCCUCGCCUGCCAAGCCUCCGGAUUCACCUUCAGCAGCUACUUCAUGGACUGGGUCCGACAGGCUCCGGGGAAAGGGCUGGAAUGGGUCGCAGAGAUACGCAAUCUUGCUUCUAGCUCAGCAGCAUAUUACAGUGACGCGGUUAAAGGGUGA